rnacentral:rRNA from 1 species
GCACCUACGGGGGGCAGCAGUGGGGAAUAUUGCACAAUGGGGGAAACCCUGAUGCAGCGACGCCGCGUGAGUGAAGAAGUAUUUCGGUAUGUAAAGCUCUAUCGGCAGGGAAGAAAAAAAUGACAGUACCUGACUAAGAAGCCCCGGCUAACUACGUGCCAGCAGUCGCGGGAAUACGUAGGGGGCAAGCGUUAUCCGGAUUUACUGGGUGUAAAGGGAGCGUAGGCGGCCAUGCAAGUCAGAAAUGAAAACCCGGGGCUCAACCCUGGGAGUGCUUUUGAAACUGGGCGGC